rnacentral:rRNA from 1 species
CCUACGGGGGGCAGCAGUGAGGAAUAUUGGUCAAUGGACGAGAGUCUGAACCAGCCAAGUAGCGUGAAGGAUGACUGCCCUAUGGGUUGUAAACUUCUUUUAUAUGGGAAUAAAAUGUUCCACGUGUGGGAUUUUGUAUGUACCAUAUGAAUAAGGAUCGGCUAACUCCGUGCCAGCAGCCGCGGUAAUACGGAGGAUCCGAGCGUUAUCCGGAUUUAUUGGGUUUAAAGGGAGCGUAGGUGGAUUGUUAAGUCAGUUGUGAAAGUUUGCGGCUCAACCGUAAAAUUGCAGUUGAAACUGGCAGUCUUGAGUACAGUAGAGGUGGGCGGAAUUCGUGGUGUAGCGGUGAAAUGCUUAGAUAUCACUAAGAACUCCGAUUGCGAAGGCAGUUCACUGGACUGCAACUGACACUGAGGCUCGAAAGUGUGGGUAUCAAACAGGAUUAGAUACCCGGGUAGUC